AGACAAAUGGAGCAGCAUGGUAGCUCGUCGGGCUCAUAACCCGAAGGUCGUUGGUUCAAAUCCAGCUCCCGCAACCA
rnacentral:tRNA from 1 species